UGUUAAAAAUUAUAUCCAUUUGUACUAUUAAAAACUAGCAAAGUUGACAAAACAACCAAACAAUGACAUAUAGCGUGCCAUGUGCACCUCAUACUUUCGGUUUUUUAACUAUAGAAAUGAAUGAAAUUUUUAACA
rfam:Gossypium raimondii Chr03_contig_491, whole genome shotgun sequence.